rnacentral:rRNA from 1 species
AGCGAACGCUGGCGGCAGGCCUAACACAUGCAAGUCGAGCGCCGUAGCAAUACGGAGCGGCAUACGGGAGAGUAACACGUGGGAACGUACCCUUUGGUUCGGAACAACCCAGGGAAACUUGGGCUAAUACCGGAUAAGCCCUUACGGGGAAAGAUUCAUCGCCGAAGGAUCGGCCCGCGUCUGAUUAGCUAGUUGGUGGGGUAAUGGCCCACCAAGGCGACGAUCAGUAGCUGGUCUGAGAAGAUGAUCAGCCUCACUGGGACUGAGACACGGGCCAGGAUCCUGAGGGAGGAAGCAGUGGGGAAUAUGGGAUAAUGGGCGCAAGGCUGGUCCAGCCGAGCCGCGUGGGUGAUGAAGGCCCUAGGGUUGUAAAGCCCUUUCGGCGGGGAAGAUAAUGACGGUACCCGCAGAAGAAGCCCCGGCUAACUUCGUGCCAGCCGCCGCGGUAAGAC